AGAGCGAACGCUGGCGGCAGGCCUAACACAUGCAAGUCGAGCGCCCGUAGCAAUACGGGAGCGGCAGACGGGAUAGUAACACGUGGGAACGCGCCCUUCGGUUCGGAAUAACUCAGGGAAACUUGAGCUAAUACCGAAUACGCCCUUACGGGGAAAGAUUUAUUGCCGAAGGAACGGCCCGCGUCCGAUUAGCUAGUUGGUGAGGUAAUGGCUCACCAAGGCUACGAUCGGUAGCUGAUCUGAGAGGAUGACCAGCAUCACUGGGACUGAGACACGGCCCAGACUCCUACGGGAGGCAGCAGUGGGGAAUAUUGGACAAUGGGCGCAAGCCUGAUCCAGCCAUGCCGCGUGGAUGAUGAAGGCCUUAGGGUUGUAAGUCCUUUUAACGGGGAAGAUAAUGACGGUACCCGUAGAAUAAGCCCCGGCUAACUUCGUGCCAGCAGCCGC
rnacentral:rRNA from 1 species